rnacentral:rRNA from 1 species
UACGUAGGUGGCAAGCGUUAUCCGGAAUUAUUGGGCGUAAAGAGUGAGCAGGCGGCAGGAUAAGUUUGAAGUGAAAGCGUGGGGCUCAACCCCAUACAGCUCCAAAAACUGUCCAGCUAGAGUGCGAGAGGGGUAAGCGGAAUUCCAUGUGUAGCGGUGAAAUGCUUAGAUAUAUGGAGGAACACCAGUGGCGAAGGCGGCUUACUAGCUCGAUACUGACGCUCAGUCACGAAAGCGUGGGGAGCAAAUA